rnacentral:rRNA from 1 species
UAUACAGUGAAACUGCGAAUGGCUCAUUAAAUCAGUUAUCGUUUAUUUGAUAGUACCUUACUACUUGGAUAACCGUGGUAAUUCUAGAGCUAAUACAUGCUAAAAAUCCCGACCUCCGGAAGGGAUGUAUUUAUUAGAUAAAAAACCAAUGCCUUCGGGCUCCUUGGUGAUUCAUGAUAACUUAACGAAUCGCAUGGCCUUGCGCCGGCGAUGGUUCAUUCAAAUUUCUGCCCUAUCAACUUUCGAUGGUAGGAUAGUGGCCUACCAUGGUUUCAACGGGUAACGGGGAAUUAGGGUUCGAUUCCGGAGAGGGAGCCUGAGAAACGGCUACCACAUCCAAGGAAGGCAGCAGGCGCGCAAAUUACCCAAUCCCGAUUCGGGGAGGUAGUGACAAUAAAUACUGAUACAGGGCUCUUUUGGGUCUUGUAAUUGGAAUGAGUACAAUUUAAAUCCCUUAACGAGGAACAAUUGGAGGGCAAGUCUGGUGCCAGCAGCCGCGGUAAUUCCAGCUCCAAUAGCGUAUAUUAAAGUUGUUGCAGUUAAAAAGCUCGUAGUUGAACCUUGGGUUUGGCUGCUCGGUCCGCCUAACCGCGUGCACUGAUGCGGCCGGAUCUUUCCUUCUGGCUAACCUCAUGCCCUUUACUGGGUGUGCUGGGGAUCCAGGACUUUUACUUUGAAAAAAUUAGAGUGUUCAAAGCAGGCCUUUGCUCGAAUACAUUAGCAUGGAAUAAUAGAAUAGGACGGCGGUUCUAUUUUGUUGGUUUCUAGAGCCACCGUAAUGAUUAAUAGGGAUAGUCGGGGGCAUCAGUAUUCAAUUGUCAGAGGUGAAAUUCUUGGAUUUAUUGAAGACUAACUACUGCGAAAGCAUUUGCCAAGGAUGUUUUCAUUAAUCAGUGAACGAAAGUUAGGGGAUCGAAGACGAUCAGAUACCGUCGUAGUCUUAACCAUAAACUAUGCCGACUAGGGAUCGGGCGGUGUUCAACUUAUGACCCGCUCGGCACCUUACGAGAAAUCAAAGUUUUUGGGUUCUGGGGGGAGUAUGGUCGCAAGGCUGAAACUUAAAGGAAUUGACGGAAGGGCACCACCAGAUGUGGAGCCUGCGGCUUAAUUUGACUCAACACGGGGAAACUCACCAGGUCCAGACACAUUAAGGAUUGACAGAUUGAGAGCUCUUUCUUGAUUAUGUGGGUGGUGGUGCAUGGCCGUUCUUAGUUGGUGGAGUGAUUUGUCUGCUUAAUUGCGAUAACGAACGAGACCUUAACCUGCUAAAUAGCCUGGCUAGCUUUUGCUGGUCACCGGCUUCUUAGAGGGACUAUCGGCUCAAGCCGAUGGAAGUUUGAGGCAAUAACAGGUCUGUGAUGCCCUUAGAUGUUCUGGGCCGCACGCGCGCUACACUGACAGAGCCAACGAGUAUAACCCUUAGCCGAGAGGUUUAGGUAAUCUUGUUAAACUCUGUCGUGCUGGGGAUAGGGCAUUGCAAUUAUUGCCCUUCAACGAGGAAUAUCUAGUAAGCGCAAGUCAUCAGCUUGCGUUGAUUACGUCCCUGCCCUUUGUACACACCGCCCGUCGCUACUACCGAUUGAAUGGCUCAGUGAGGCCUUCGGACUGGCUCCAGGAGGUUGGCAACAACCACCCAGAGCCGGAAAGUUGGUCAAAC